rnacentral:ncRNA from 1 species
CGACCUCAGAUCAGACGAGACAACCCGCUGAAUUUAAGCAUAUUACUAAGCGGAGGAAAAGAAACUAACAAGGAUUCCCUCAGUAGCGGCGAGCGAAGAGGGAAGAGCCCAGCGCCGAAUCCCCGCCCGGCGGUCGGGCGCGGGAAAUGUGGCGU